rnacentral:miRNA from 1 species
UAUUGCACUCGUCCCGGCCUUG